UAUGGACCCGACUCUCCCUAGUUCUCCUGGUCGCCUAGGCGUCCGUGGGAAAUCUGAAUUAGCAGUUUGAGAUCAUAGAUCAGAAUUGAAUCGCUGUCGGGAUGCCUUACAACUAGCAAAGUCGAAGGCGGCAGCGCGGGGGCAACCCUGGCGGCGAGCGGGGAAGGGCGUGACUAAUACAUCGGAAACGUUGUCCUUUCGUGGGGAGAUAAUAAGGCGAAAAGACUGGGCUAAUACCGCAUGAGAUCGUAAGAUGAAAGCGAGGGACCCGAGGGUAACUUCGGGCCUCGCGCGAUUGGAGCGGCCGAUGUCGGAUUAGCUAGUUGGCGGGGUAAAAGCCCACCAAGGCGACGAUCCGUAGCUGGUUUGAGAGAACGACCAGCCACACUGGGACUGAGACACGGCCCAGACUCCUACGGGAGGCAGCAGUGGGGAAUUUUGGACAAUAGGGCGCAAGCCUGAUCCAGCCAUGCCGCGUGUGUGAAGAAGGCCUUCGGGUUGUAAAGCACUUUCGGCCGGAACGAAGUCGCUUUCGUUAAUAGCAAAAAAUGAAAAAACAGUACCGGAAGAAGAAGCACCGGCUAACUACGUGCCAGCAGCCGCGGUAAUACGUAGGGUGCGAGCGUUAAUCGGAAUUACUGGGCGUAAAGGGUGCGCAGGCGGCGUCGCAAGUCAGGCGUGAAAUCCCCGGGGCUUAACCUUGGGAACUGCACUUGAAACUACGAUGCUGGAGUAUGGCAGAGGGAGGUGGAAUUCCACGUGUAGCGGUGAAAAUGCGUAGAGAUGUGGAGGGAACACCGAUGGCGAAGGGCAGCCUCCUGGGCCAAUACUUGGACGCUCAUGUCACGAAAGCCGUGGGGAGCAAACACGAAUUAUGAUAUCCCUAGGUAGUCCCACGCCCUAAAACCGAUGACGUUUAGUUUUUGGAGGAGUUAAAUCCUUUAGUAACGCAGCUAACGCGAGAAGUCAUCCGCUUGGGAGGAUUACGGUCGCAAGAUUAAAACUCAAAGGAAUUGACGGGGGCCCGCACAAGCGGUGGAUGAUGUGGUUUAAUUCGACGCAACGCGAAAAACCUUACCUACCCUUGACAUGUACGGAAC
rnacentral:rRNA from 1 species